rnacentral:rRNA from 1 species
UACGUAGGGUGCGAGCGUUAAUCGGAAUUACUGGGCGUAAAGCGUGCGCAGGCGGUUUUGUAAGCCAGAUGUGAAAUCCCCGGGCUUAACCUGGGAAUGGCAUUUGGGACUGCAAGGCUGGAGUGCGGCAGAGGAGACUGGAAUUCCUGGUGUAGCAGUGAAAUGCGUAGAUAUCUGGAGGAACACCGGUGGCGAAGGCGACAUCCUGGACCGGUAUUGACGCUGAGGCGCGAAAGCCAGGGGAGCAAACGGG